AGUUUGAGGAGUUCCCGGCCGAAGACUGGACUGGUUUAGAUGAAGAUGAAGAUGCACAUGUCUGGGAAGACAAUUGGGAUGAUGACAAUGUAGAAGAUGAUUUCUCCAAUCAGUUAAGUAUAUCUAUCUCUUCUAUACAGAGCUGAAUUAGAAAAACAUGGAUACAAGAUGGAAACGUCAUAGUUUUUGCAGAAUAUGGAGUGGCUUAACAUGGAACUGUGGAUAGACU